AGUGAACGCUGGCGGUAGGCCUAACACAUGCAAGUCGAACGGCAGCACAGUAAGAGCUUGCUCUUACGGGUGGCGAGUGGCGGACGGGUGAGGAAUACAUCGGAAUCUACUUUUUCGUGGGGGAUAACGUAGGGAAACUUACGCUAAUACCGCAUACGACCUACGGGUGAAAGCAGGGGAUCUUCGGACCUUGCGCGAUUGAAUGAGCCGAUGUCGGAUUAGCUAGUUGGCGGGGUAAAGGCCCACCAAGGCGACGAUCCGUAGCUGGUCUGAGAGGAUGAUCAGCCACACUGGAACUGAGACACGGUCCAGACUCCUACGGGAGGCAGCAGUGGGGAAUAUUGGACAAUGGGCGAAAGCCUGAUCCAGCCAUACCGCGUGGGUGAAGAAGGCCUUCGGGUCGUAAAGCCCUUUUGUUGGGAAAGAAAAGCAGCAUGUUAAUAUCCCGCUGUUUUGACGGUACCCAAAGAAUAAGCACCGGCUAACUUCGUG
rnacentral:rRNA from 1 species